AAAGGUAUUAACCCUUUACCAUAUGUGAAUUUUUGUUUAAAAAAUCAUGUAAAUUAUUUUUGGAGGUAAUUACCCAUGGAACAAGGAACAGUAAAAUGGUUUAACGCAGAAAAAGGAUUUGGCUUUAUCGAAGUUGAAGGCGGCAACGAUGUAUUCGUACAUUUCUCCGCAAUCGUAGGCGACGGUUUCAAAUCUUUGGACGAAGGCCAACGCGUUGAGUUCAACGUAGUACAAGGCAACCGCGGUCCUCAAGCUGAGAACGUAGUAAAACUUUAAUUAAACCAAUGCCCCGAACAUAACGUUUGGGGCUUUUGU
rnacentral:other from 1 species